GGAAUCAACGCUGGCGGCGUGCCUAACACAUGCAAGUCGAACGCGAAAGUGGAGCAAUCCAUCAGUAGAGUGGCAAACGGGUGAGUAACACGUGGGUGACCUGCCUUCGAGCGGGGGAUAACGGUCCCGAAAGGGACGCUAAUACCGCAUAACAUCCUGCCUUUUAAGAGGUGGAGAUCAAAGCCGGGGAUCGCAAGACCUGGCACUUGAAGAGGGGCCCGCGCCUGAUUAGCUAGUUGGUGGGGUAAUGGCUCACCAAGGCAACGAUCAGUA
rnacentral:rRNA from 1 species